rnacentral:misc_RNA from 1 species
AGAUGUGUAUAAGGGACAAGUGAGUCAUCGAAUCUUUGAACGCACAUUGCGCCCCCUGGUAUUCUGGGGGGCAUGCCUGUUCGAGCGUCAUCAAAACACUCAAGCUCUGCUUGGAAUUGGGCCCUACUUUGAUGAGGUUGGCCUCAAAGUCAUUGGCGGUGCCGACUGGUCUCCGAGCGUAGUAAUAAAAGCCUCGCUUUCUGAGCCAGUACUGGUGCCAAGCCAGAUACCUAGAAUAUUAGUUUGACCUCGGAUCAGGUAGGGAUACCCGCUGAACUUAAGCAUAUCAAUAAGCGGAGG